rnacentral:rRNA from 1 species
GUGUCAGCAGCCGCGGUAAUACCGGCAGUCCGAGUGAUGGCCGAUCUUAUUGGGCCUAAAGCGUCCGUAGCUGGCUGAACAAGUCCGCUGGGAAAUCUGUCCGCUUAACGGGCAGGCGUCCAGCGGAAACUGUUCAGCUUGGGACCGGAAGACCUGAGGGGUACGUCUGGGGUAGGAGUGAAAUCCUGUAAUCCUGGACGGACCGCCGGUGGCGAAAGCGCCUCAGGAGAACGGAUCCGACAGUGAGGGACGAAAGCUAGGGUCUCGAACCG